rnacentral:tRNA from 17 species
GGAGAGAUGGCCGAGCGGUCGAAGGCGUACGCCUGGAGAGCGUAUGACGAGCACAACUCGUCCGUGGGUUCAAAUCCCACUCUCUCCGCCA